UCUGUCUCACUUUCUCUUUUCCUUUCCACUCUUCUUCUCACACAGGUGUGCAGUCAUCUCUCACAUUCCUCAGGGUCACACAUUUUACUUUUCAUGUUUCGCUAUGGAGGGACGCUACGUCACCCUACGUCUCCCUGGAAGCAAGAAGAUUCUAACUCUCUGUGAAGUUGAGGUGCUCUCCAUAGAAUAUGUGCCAGAAGUUGCUCCUCCUCCUCCUCCUCCCUCUGUGAGCGCACUGCUGAAUGGCAGGAAUGUGACGUUGGUGGGAAAGAGGCUCUGCUGGUCUGAAUGCCCUGCUACCACUGGGACCUGCUUAGUCUUCACAGCCAGGAGGAGCAGAGCGAGGUGGAGCAGCUGUUAGGCCGCAGCCCUGUCCCCCUCACAGGCUAUAUCUGGCUGGGAUUGCGCAGAUCUACUCUGCAGAUAUAUCAUGGGCGACACAUCGUUCUGGAUGUCCAGAGAGUCUGUGAAAUUCACCCACCGGCUGCGAGAUUCUGGACCAUACCUUUUCUCAAGCCCCUGUGGAGGUAUGGCCAGCAAAGAGCACUUCCUCUGGGAUAGCCAGCCUUGCAAUGAGCUCCUCAACUUCAAUCCAAUCAGGUUGUGCUACACCUCACACGUAAGACACAUGUGCACAUUUGGUACAUCACCUCUAUUUUUCACCAGCUCCUUCUGCCCCUUUUUGCCCCUUUGCUGUCAGUGGC